AGCACGGCCGCCUCGGCGCGCCCGGGUUGGCUGCCCCGGCGGCCUCCUCGGCAGUAAUGGCUUCUCUGAUGUGAUAGUUUCCCCCGCCCCCUCGCGUAGGACGCGGCGGUGGGGCGGCGGUGGAAAGCCUAACUUUAUUGUUCCCCCGGCCCACCUCCCGGCGCGUCCUCAGGAUGCUAGGGAGCUGAGCGCCGGGGGCGGCGGAGGGUCGCGGUCCGUCCGGGCCCUCGCCUCGGAGCACAGGGCCGAGGGCGGCAGGGAGUCACGAUGUCAGGUAGCCGCCAGGCCGGCUCGGGUUCCGCUGGGACGAGCCCCGGCUCCUCGGCCGCCUCCUCGGUGACUUCCGCCUCCUCGUCCUUAUCCUCGUCUCCGUCGCCGCCGUCCGUGGCGGCCUCGGCGGCGACGCUGGUGUCCGGCGGUGUGGCCCCGGCCGCGGGCUCCGGCGGCCUCGGCGUCCCGGGACGGCCUGUGCUGGUGGCGGCCGCGGUGUCUGGCAGCGCGAGCGCCGGCGGGGCGGUGUCCGCGGGCCAGUCCCGGCUGAGCUGUGCGGCCAGGCCCAGCGCCGGCGUUGGAGGGAGCAGCUCCAGUCUCGGCAGCAGCAGUAGGAAGCGACCUCUGCUCGUCCCGCUUUGCAACGGGCUCCUCAACUCCUACGAGGACAAAAGCAACGACUUCGUCUGUCCCAUCUGCUUUGAUAUGAUUGAAGAGGCAUACAUGACAAAAUGUGGCCACAGCUUUUGCUACAAGUGUAUUCAUCAGAGUUUGGAGGACAAUAAUAGAUGUCCCAAGUGUAAUUAUGUUGUGGACAAUAUUGACCAUCUCUAUCCUAAUUUCUUGGUGAAUGAACUCAUUCUCAAACAGAAGCAAAGAUUUGAGGAAAAGAGGUUCAAAUUGGACCACUCAGUGAGUAGCACCAAUGGGCAUAGGUGGCAGAUAUUUCAAGAUCUACUAGGAACUGAUCAAGAUAACCUUGAUUUAGCCAAUGUAAACCUCAUGUUGGAAUUAUUAGUGCAGAAGAAGAAACAACUGGAAGCAGAAUCACAUGCAGCUCAGCUACAGAUCCUUAUGGAGUUCCUCAAGGUUGCCAGAAGAAAUAAGAGAGAGCAGUUGGAACAGAUCCAGAAGGAACUAAGUGUUCUGGAAGAGGAUAUUAAAAGAGUGGAAGAAAUGAGUGGCUUGUACUCUCCCGUCAGUGAAGAUAGCACAGUGCCUCAGUUUGAAGCUCCUUCUCCAUCACACAGUAGCAUUAUUGAUUCUACAGAAUACAGCCAACCUCCAGGUUUCAGUGGGACUUCUCAGACAAAGAAACAGCCUUGGUAUAACAGCACAUUAGCAUCAAGACGAAAGCGACUCACUGCUCAUUUUGAAGACCUAGAGCAGUGUUAUUUUUCUACAAGGAUGUCUCGUAUCUCAGAUGACAGUAGAACGGCAAGCCAGUUAGAUGAAUUUCAAGAAUGCUUGUCCAAGUUUACUCGAUACAACUCAGUAAGACCGUUGGCCACGUUGUCUUAUGCUAGUGAUCUCUAUAAUGGUUCCAGCAUAGUUUCUAGUAUUGAGUUUGACCGGGAUUGUGACUAUUUUGCAAUUGCUGGAGUUACAAAGAAGAUUAAAGUCUAUGAAUAUGGCACAGUCAUCCAGGAUGCAGUGGAUAUUCAUUACCCUGAGAAUGAAAUGACCUGCAAUUCCAAAAUCAGCUGUAUCAGUUGGAGUAGUUACCAUAAGAACCUGCUAGCCAGCAGUGAUUAUGAAGGCACUGUUAUAUUAUGGGAUGGAUUCACAGGACAGAGGUCAAAGGUCUAUCAGGAGCAUGAAAAGAGAUGUUGGAGUGUUGAUUUUAAUCUGAUGGAUCCUAAACUUCUGGCUUCAGGUUCUGAUGAUGCAAAAGUGAAACUGUGGUCCACCAAUUUAGACAAUUCUGUGGCAAGCAUUGAGGCAAAGGCUAACGUAUGCUGUGUGAAGUUCAGCCCCUCCUCCAGGUAUCAUCUGGCUUUUGGCUGUGCAGAUCACUGUGUCCACUACUACGAUCUUCGUAACACUAAACAGCCAAUAAUGGUAUUCAAAGGACACCGAAAAGCAGUAUCUUAUGCCAAGUUUGUGAGUGGUGAAGAAAUUGUCUCUGCCUCAACAGACAGCCAACUAAAACUGUGGAAUGUGGGAAAACCAUACUGUCUACGUUCCUUCAAGGGUCAUAUUAAUGAAAAAAACUUUGUAGGCCUUGCUUCCAAUGGAGAUUAUAUAGCUUGUGGAAGUGAGAACAACUCCCUCUACCUGUACUAUAAAGGACUUUCUAAGACUUUGCUGACUUUUAAGUUUGAUACAGUUAAGAGUGUGUUAGACAAAGAUCGGAAAGAAGAUGAUACAAAUGAAUUUGUCAGUGCUGUGUGUUGGCGGGCACUAUCAGACGGGGACAGUGCUGGAAGUAUGAUGGGCAAAUGAAGAAAUGAAGUAAAGGAUCCAGAAUAUCAUUUACUAUAUUCAAGAAGAGACUUUGAAAUGAGUCCAAUGUGCUGAUUGCUGCUAACAGCCAGGGUACAAUUAAGGUGCUAGAAUUGGUAUAAAGUUUCCUGAAGUCAAAUUGUGUUUGAUUCUCUCAAAGCCAUCUGCAUCUGAUGAUGAGAAGAAAAAGAAAUGGCAUGUGAUGCCCCCAACGUCAUUUGGAUUUGUUCUGAGUACCUUUCCCUCAUUUAUGCCUUUGGGACAUUGGGAAUAUCCAGAGAAUUCUCCGCCAUCAGUGUAACUAUGAACUUUGCUGUUGGCAGUGUGGCUAUCGAAUUUUUGUGAUAGGGAAACAAAUUCUUUUAAAUAAAAAUACAUAACAACAAAAAAUAAAAGUUUAUUGAGCCACAGCUGAGCCGGGAACACCUUUUUGUCGGGUGGGGUGAGAGUCUUUUGAAGAAGUUGCACUUGUAGGCUGUACAGAAUGUUCUGGCUGGGACUGGAGAGAGGCUCAGUGAGUAAGAGCACUGGCUGCUCCUACCGGAGGAUCUGGAUCAGUCCCCAGUACCUACAGAGCAGCUCACUGCCACUUAUGAUUCCAGUAGGAGAUCUGAUGUCCUCUUCUGGGCUCUUAAGCAGCAGGCAUGCAUGUGAUGCACAUACAAAAAUCCACACAUACAAAUGAAAAUAAAUCAUAUUUUAAAAGAAAGAAAAAUGUACUGGUGAAUAAUUUUAAUGUUGUGUUUCCCAAACCUUUUGGAAUUACACAUACCAACAUGAACAAAAGAAAAAAUGUGUUGAUUCCUUCCAAUGACCUUAAUGUUUACAAUAAAAAAAAAUAAAGAA